GACGAACGCUGGCGGCGUGCCUAAUACAUGCAAGUAGAACGCUGAAGAGAGGAGCUUACUCUUCUUGGAUGAGUUGCGAACGGGUGAGUAACGCGUAGGUAACCUGCCUUGUAGCGGGGGAUAACUAUUGGAAACGAUAGCUAAUACCGCAUAACAAUGGAUGACACAUGUCAUUUAUUUGAAAGGGGCAAUUGCUCCACUACAAGAUGGACCUGCGUUGUAUUAGCUAGUAGGUGAGGUAAUGGCUCACCUAGGCGACGAUACAUAGCCGACCUGAGAGGGUGAUCGGCCACACUGGGACUGAGACACGGCCCAGACUCCUACGGGAGGCAGCAGUAGGGAAUCUUCGGCAAUGGGGGCAACCCUGACCGAGCAACGCCGCGUGAGUGAAGAAGGGUUUCGGAUCGUAAAGCUCUGUUGUAAGUCAAGAACGGAUGUGAGAGUGGAAAGUUCACACUGUGACGGUAGCUUACCAGAAAGGGACGGCUAACUACGUG
rnacentral:rRNA from 1 species